GAUGAACGCUGGCGGCGUGCCUAAUACAUGCAAGUCGAGCGAACGGACGAGAAGCUUGCUUCUCUGAUGUUAGCGGCGGACGGGUGAGUAACACGUGGAUAACCUACCUAUAAGACUGGGAUAACUUCGGGAAACCGUAGCUAAUACCGGAUAAUAUUUUGAACCGCAUGGUUCAAAAGUGAAAGACGGUCUUGCUGUCACUUAUAGAUGGAUCCGCGCUGCAUUAGCUAGUUGGUAAGGUAACGGCCUACCAAGGCAACGAUGCAUAGCCGACCUGAGAGGGUGAUCGGACACACUGGAACUGAGACACGGUCAAGACUCCUACGGGAGGCAGAAGUAGGGAAUCUUCCGCAAUGGGCGAAAGCCUGACGGAGCAACGCCGCGUGAGUGAUGAAGGUCUUCGGAUCGUAAAACUCUGUUAUUAGGGAAGAACAUAUGUGUAAGUAACUGUGCACAUCUUGACGGUACCUAAUCAGAAAGCCACGGCUAACUACGUG
rnacentral:rRNA from 1 species